UACGUAGGGGGCAAGCGUUAUCCGGAUUUACUGGGUGUAAAGGGAGCGUAGACGGCAGGGCAAGUCUGAAGUGAAAGGCAGGGGCCCAACCCCUGGACUGCUUUGGAAACUGCCAGGCUGGAGUGCAGGAGAGGUAAGUGGAAUUCCUAGUGUAGCGGUGAAAUGCGUAGAUAUUAGGAGGAACACCAGUGGCGAAGGCGGCUUACUGGACGAUAACUGACGCUGAGGCUCGAAAGCGUGGGGAGCAAACAGG
rnacentral:rRNA from 1 species